rnacentral:miRNA from 1 species
UUGGCCGUUUCUUCGGUUUGC